GUGAGUAACACGUGAGUAACCUGCCCUUGACUCUGGGAUAAGCCUGGGAAACUGGGUCUAAUACCGGAUACGACCAUUGCCCGCAUGGGUUGGUGGUGGAAAGCUUUUGUGGUUUUGGAUGGACUCGCGGCCUAUCAGCUUGUUGGUGAGGUAAUGGCUCACCAAGGCGACGACGGGUAGCCGGCCUGAGAGGGUGACCGGCCACACUGGGACUGAGACACGGCCCAGACUCCUACGGGAGGCAGCAGUGGGGAAUAUUGCACAAUGGGCGAAAGCCUGAUGCAGCGACGCCGCGUGAGGGAUGACGGCCUUCGGGUUGUAAACCUCUUUCAGUAGGGAAGAAGCGAAAGUGACGGUACCUGCAGAAGAAGCGCCGGCUAACUACGUGCCAGCAGCCGCGGUAAUACGUAGGGCGCAAGCGUUAUCCGGAAUUAUUGGGCGUAAAGAGCUCGUAGGCGGUUUGUCGCGUCUGCUGUGAAAGGCCAGGGCUCAACCCUGGGUUCUGCAGUGGGUACGGGCAGACUUGAGUGAUGUAGGGGAGACUGGAAUUCCUGGUGUAGCGGUGAAAUGCGCAGAUAUCAGGAGGAACACCGAUG
rnacentral:rRNA from 1 species